UUUUUCCUUUUCUCCGUGGCCUUUAGGCGUUGUAGUAUUGCCCUUGGGCCUUCGGCUCGUAUGGGUAGUCUUACAGGUAUGGGGUCACGCACCCCCAACCAUGUAACACACACACACAGACAGCAAUGCCUUAUAAAGGCUUGGAAAGCUUAUCCUGAUGGACGAGCUGGCAGUACUCUAGAACCUGCCAGCCGUUGCUCACAGAAGUCUGAUGGGCAGUCAUAUACAGGCCACAGCUGUUACUCACAAUAACCUGACAAGUUACCUAAACAGUCCACGGUCCAGGCCAACUGCUCAACACUCAGCAGACACAAGCACAGCUUGCCAGCCUUCAGCCUGAUGGCUAUGCGGUCUGGAGCUGCUGCACAAACAUAUACAGGGAAAACAGUGUCGUACAGCACCAUACGCACUGCCUACGGUGCCCCUUCGGGCAUUGACCUGCCCAUUCGGGCGCCUGCUCACACACCCUCAGCACCCCCUCCUCUGGCGAUCUAAGUGACGCCCAGCGCUGUGCGGCAGCGCACGAACUUGACCUCGCCCAGUGCCUUGGUUAGGAUGUCAGCCACCAUGUCGUCGGUGGUGCAAUAGCUGAGCUUCACCUCACCACGCACGACCCUCUCGCGCACGAUGUGAUGGUGCACGUCGAUGUGCUGGANNNNNNNNNNNNNNNNNNNNNNNNNNNNNNNNNNNNNNNNNNNNNNNNNNUACUGCUAUCAGGCCAGGUAGUACCUGCCAAAGAUAGCGCUCGCUAUCUGGGCUUGGUAUAUGGGCCAGAACGGCCUUUUAGUGCGUGCCGUCAGCAGUUGUGUGAUACAGGUCGGUCCGCUAUGUUUUCCUUAAGCGCAAAGCUGGACAAAAUGAAGCUGUUUGCCCCCGAUGUGCGAAUGCGGUGUUUUGCAACCCAAGUCCGAGCAAUUCUGUUGUAUGGCUGCCAGGCGUGGGGCCCUUUUGCGCUGGCAGAGGUCGUGGACAGGGCAGGAAGGCGGCGGGAUAAAGCCAACCUUGCGGAGGGCAUGUUCGAAGCCCGUUUGAAGGAUAGUGCAGUCCAGCUGCAGAUUUUAUUCAUGAGGCAGGUAGUGGGGACGGCACGGCCAUCCCACAGGCUGUUGUACGCGGAGCUGGCUGAACUCCCCUUACAAUAUUACAUGGUGAAGCAGAUUCUCCGUUUCUGGAACUGCCUUCAAAAGCAAGUGGGAUCCACUGCUCAUGCAGUUUUACGGCAGGAGAUAACCGAUGCCCUGACCAACCCGGAAUGGGAGGGUUGGGGAAUCUCAAUGUUAGUCAUGGGGGUAAAGGAGCGUGUUGACUGGUUGUUGAGUAGACCUCUACCAGAAGGAGCGAUAAUAACGGCACUAAGAGAGCGUUUGAUGAGUGGCUGGGACCAUACGCAUCUGACUGUCUUGCCAGAGGAGUACCCAUCAGAUUGGAAGCAACCGGGAGUGCAAAUGGCGAAGUAUAAGCACUGGAUGGGGCUGCCCUUUUCGGGAGCCGCAGCCGUCAUGUGGCCAACACAUGCUAAGGUUUUCAUUCCUCGUUUAUUUAGCAAAUCGUAAGCUAAUGUAGUUUCGUUUAUGUUGCUGGGCUUUGGAGGCAAACAGAGCACGAAGGGGCAAGUACCAUGUCCCCAGGGGGCAGCGGUUUUGCCACUGUUGUGGAACUAAUAGCCGAAUUGAGGAUGAAAAACACGUGUUAUUGGAAUGCCCAGCCUAUUAUGAUAUUCGUGCUGAAGAGGGACUCGAUCAUCAACAGAGUAUGUUGGAGGCCAUGCAAUGUGAACCCGCACGUCUGGCGAGGAUGUUGGAACGUAUGUGGGCUCACCGAAACUCAAUUACCCCCUUUGGACGCUAGUCUGGGCUGAUGUGCGGUGUUUUUCCUUUUCUCCGUGGCCUUUAGGCGUUGUAGUAUUGCCCUUGGGCCUUCGGCUCGUAUGGGUAGUCUUACAGGUAUGGGGUCACGCACCCCCAACCAUGUAACACACACACACAGACAGCAAUGCCUUAUAAAGGCUUGGAAAGCUUAUCCUGAUGGACGAGCUGGCAGUACUCUAGAACCUGCCAGCCGUUGCUCACAGAAGUCUGAUGGGCAGUCAUAUACAGGCCACAGCUGUUACUCACAAUAACCUGACAAGUUACCUAAACAGUCCACGGUCCAGGCCAACUGCUCAACACUCAGCAGACACAAGCACAGCUUGCCAGCCUUCAGCCUGAUGGCUAUGCGGUCUGGAGCUGCUGCACAAACAUAUACAGGGAAAACAGUGUCGUACAGCACCAUACGCACUGCCUACGGUGCCCCUUCGGGCAUUGACCUGCCCAUUCGGGCGCCUGCUCACACACCCUCAGCACCCCCUCCUCUGGCGAUCUAAGUGACGCCCAGCGCUGUGCGGCAGCGCACGAACUUGACCUCGCCCAGUGCCUUGGUUAGGAUGUCAGCCACCAUGUCGUCGGUGGUGCAAUAGCUGAGCUUCACCUCACCACGCACGACCCUCUCGCGCACGAUGUGAUGGUGCACGUCGAUGUGCUUGGAGCGCACCGACGUGAUGGGGUUGUUGCCGAGGCUGAGCGCGCCUUGUGAAUCCAGCUGGACGUUGACAGCACCCGGGGAAAGGUCCAGGUCGCUCGCCAGCUUGCGCAGCCACAACGCCUCAUGCACGGCUGCUGCUGCGGCCUAGGCCGGUUACCCAUCUCGUUAACUGGACCCAUUAGGUCGGAACCGGGCCGGAACCGGCCUGGAGUAUGCCAUUGGGCCUGGUACUCGGCUUCCACGGACGAGGCAGCCACGGUGCGCUGCAACUGACUGCUCCAGCUGACCGCCGCGCCACCGAGCAAGAAAGCGUAGCCCGUGGUGGACCGGUGGGUGGCUGGGUCGCCGGCCCAGUCUGCAUCGCUGUACCCACCAAAAUUGCUGGCGUCACCGCGGUAACGUAGACCAAGCGCCUGAGUGCCAGAGAUGUAACGCAGCACACCCAGAGCGAGCCCCAUGUGGGCUUUGGUGGGGGCGGACAUGUGCCGUGCGAGCAUGCUCAGAGCAUGUGCAAUGUCUGGGCGUGUGCUGGUAGCGAGGUAGUUUAGUUCGCCCACCAGUGUGCGGUAGCCACUGCCGUCCGCCAGUAUCGGCUGGGUGUCACUGGCUGGCAGAACCCGCGUACCCUGGGGUAGCGGGGUGGCACGCGGCUUGGCAUUCUCCAGGCUGUGGCGCUGAAGCAGCUGCUCCAUGUAACGCUUCUGUGUGAGCAUGAUGCUGCGGUUGCGGCGGUCCUGGACGAUCUCCAUGCCGAGGUAGUAGCGCGCCUCUCCAAGGUCUCGUACUGCGAAGCAACCAGCUAUGGCCGCCUUGGCGGCCGCGACCAAUUGCAGGUUGUCUGCCGCCACCAGCAUGUCGUCAACAUGCAUGGACCCAUGCUUGACGAAUAGUGCGGGGUCGGACAUAGACGGCUCAUAGCCUAGCUUGCCCAACUCCGCCGCCAGUUUCUCGUACCAGCAACAUGGGGCUUGCUUGAGGCCGUAGACGGACUUUGACAGCCAGCACGCCUGUGUCGGGUCGCCGUUGCUGUAACCUGGUGGCUGUCGCAUCCACAGCUCCUCUGCCAGGUCGCCGUUCAAGAAAGCCGUUUUGACGUCCAUCUGAUGGACCGUCAUACCCCUGGCCGCUGCCACAGCUAGAAGUGCCCGCAGGGAGGCUGCACACGUGGUGGGCGCAAACAGCUCUCCAUAGUCUAUGCCCGCUCCCUGUUCAAAGCCCUUCACCACCAAGCGCGACUUAUAGUGUACCUCACUGCCAGGCUCCUGUUUGAUCUUGUAAACCCAGCGGCAGUCCAGGAUGCGUGCACCGGGCGGCGGCGUGCCCAACUCCCAUGUCUUGUUGGAAAGCUGCGACAGGAUCUCGUCAUCCAUCGAAGUCUUCCACUUGUCAGCUAGCGGACUCACCACCGCUUCUUCAUAACUGCGCGGCUCCUGCACCGUGCUGUUGCCUCCGCCGUCCGCACUGCCGUCGGGCACGUUAAACUCAGCACAAUCGGUGCUACCCGACGCUUUGUUAAGCAGUGGUGGACUACCCAAAUCUCCGCCGCCGCUGCUGCUGUUGUUGGCUGGGCAGACCGGGGCCAGCGGCGGGUGUAGUGGUUGCCAGACUGCGUGUGUUGGGGCGGAAGGGGGGUGCUGGGUUCACUGGGGGCGGGACAUAAACUGGAGGCAGCGGUGUGGCGGGCUGUGUAGAGCCGCCGACAGGGUCGCUGCCGCCAGGAUGGGCAGGGCUGGUGCCGAAGGGGGUGCCCGCCCGUUGAGACGCCAGGCCGCAGUGGUCAUCGUCGAAGGUGACGUCGCUGCUAACAGUCACCUUACAGUCGACGAGGACGCGGUGGGCGGCCGUGCCGCGGUCCGGUCCAAGGUAGGUUCCCGCCUCCAUGCGGGGACCAAGCUUAUCCUGCAGUUUACCGUUCGGUUGGCCUCCGCCGGUGUCACUGCUGGCGGUGCUGCCACCGCGAGUGCUGGGGGCGCCGGCAGCACUUCCUCCAGUGCUGCUACCUCCGCCGGCUCUGCCUUCCGUGGCGCCGAGCGCGUUGACGGUGCGUUUGGUCGGCGCCAGCAGGUCCACGUCCAUGACGUAAUGCCCGCGCUCGCUCCACGUGGCGAUAGACGAACUGCUGUGCGGGAGGCCUACGUGCGAGAACCGGCUGCCCGCCUUGUCCGUGCCGAACGUGACUGAGCAGCCGCGCGUCACGAGAAGGUCGACAGACAUGAGCGUUAGUCCCGAGCUGGGGACAUGGAGCACGUUGCGUAGCCAGACGGAUUCUCCAUCGCGCGUCCGUAGGAGCAGCUGCCCUGUUCCCAUGACGUCGGCUAGCUGGUUGUUCCCCAACUUGAUUUGCUUGGGUGCACCGGCAGGAAUGUAAUCAUGCAACAGCGAGCGGUCACCUGUAAGGUGGUAAGGCGAACCAGAGUCUAGGACAACACGUGAACUGCUACCACUGCCAUCAACGACCAGCACCGUGGCACGGUUCUGGCGUGAGCUCCUUCCACCGCCGCCGCCGCCACUGCUUCUGCCAGCAGUGUCGCUGCCGCUGCGGCGGCCGUUGCCGCAUCUAACACGGCUGCGUUCACGCGUCCUGUCGCCCCCGCUGUUAUUGCCGCUGCUGGUGCCUCCGCCGCCACCAUCACGAUGGCGGUUGCUGCUGCCACUGCUGCCGGCGCCGGUACUACGUGGCUGCUCAAACGCAUUGCUGCGGUAGAGACCUACGGACUCGUCCGCCAGCUUAAAGGGGCACUCGCGGACAUAGUGCCCAGGCUGUCCACAGUAGCGGCAGAUGUCAUUGGCCCCCGCGGCGGCCGAGGCGCCGGCAGCACCAACCAGGCCGGACUUGACUGCUUGGGCCUUAAGGUUGUUCUCCUUCUCCUGCAGCAUGAACACGAGCUGCGGGGUCGUCAAGUUGGGCAAAUACAUCGCGAACUCGACAGUGAUGGCGUACUGAGGCGGCAGGCCGUGGAGAAUGGCGUGACGCAUAGCACCCUCGUCCCACUGGCCGCCUGCCGAGAUAAUGGUCGUCUCUUCGUCGCCCAUGCUCAGCUGCUUCUGCGGCUCCAGCAGGCUCAGCCGGGCCUGGGAGGCAGAACGGAACUGUUGCUGUAAGAGCUGCAUGGCGGAGACAUCGUCUGACAGUUUCUGAGCAACUGCUCUACGGGCAGUUCGCAGGACAGACGCAGGUAGCCAAGCACCUGGACAUCUUCCUCCAGAGCGUCUUGCGCAUUGCGGCCCGGAGGCGACGGGUUGGUCAUAUAGCUCCUCAACUUAGAUAGCAAGGAAAUCACUGAAGUCUCCUAGCCACUGCGAGUAGCCACUGCGAGUAGUUAGACCCGUCCGAUAGGAGGACGGUCUUACACCCCUUUCCCAUGUUGGUUGCCUAGCGAGCCUCACUGCUCAAGCUAAAAAGCAAAUACAGAUAUUAACCGCCGGGAACCGUUACCCGGGGCUCAUAACCUGUUGGUGAGACGCUAUCUCACUGGGACCUAGCAGACACGACUAAGGAGACAUUAGCCGUUAGACGUAUUCGGGAGAUCCGCGACCUUCCACCGAUAGCCCCUUUACCUAGGCGUAAACGUGUGAAUCUGAGGUACUAUCACCAAUAGACAGCAAUGCCUUAUAAAGGCUUGGAAAGCUUAUCCUGAUGGACGAGCUGGCAGUACUCUAGAACCUGCCAGCCGUUGCUCACAGAAGUCUGAUGGGCAGUCUUAAACAGGCCACAGCUGUUACUCACGAUAACCUGACAAGUUACCUACACAGGCCGCGGGGCGACACGACAUCCCUUCGCAUCAACAGUACUGGCUCCCAUUUCAUGGCCUCCAACAUGCUCUGUUAAUAAUCGAAUCCCUCUUCCGUACGAAUAUCAUUAUAGGCUGGGCAUUCCAAUAACACGUGUUUUUCAUUGUCGAUUUGGCUAUUUGUACCACAACAGCGGCAAAUCCGCUGCGCCCUGGGGACGUGGAACUUGCCCCUUCGUACUCUGUUUGCCGCCAGAGCCCAGCAACAUAAACGAAACUGCAUUAGCUUACGAUGUGCUAAACGAGGAAUGAAAACCUUAGCAUGUGUUGGCCACAUUAACGGCUGCGGCUCCCGAAAAGGGCAGCCCCAUCCAUUGCUUAUACCUCGCCAUCUGUACUCCCGGUUGCUUCCCAUCUGAUGGGUACUCCUCUGGCAAGACAGUCAGACGCGCAUGGUCCCAGCCGCUCGUCAAACGCUCCCUUUGUGCCGUUAUCACCGCUCCUUCGGGGAAAGGUCUACUCAACAACCAGUCAACACGCUCCAGUACCCCCAUGAUUUCUUGCGGUAUUCCACUCAAAUAUUGCACUGCAAGAAGGAAAACAGCCGUAACAUUGAGGUCCCCCAACCGACCCAUUAGCCUGCUGCUGCAUGGUAGCUAGGGCUUCCAGGGAGUGUGAGUUUGUGUUUGGAGUCAUCUGGAGCGGUUUACUUGGUUGCAGAGGUGCAAGCGUCUAACAGCGUCUAACAGGCGCUUUGGCUGGUAAGUAGCAGUAAUUCAGACGGAUAGCCAGCUACACUUGCAGCACAGUAAAACUGGAGUUUGAUUACAGACCAUGAUGCCUGCAUGCUUUGCCCUAUAGGGAAAUGGCAUUCCUAUAGGAGAAGGCACAUUAUCACAAUAACAUAGAAAAGCAAGCGAACGAGUGGGGAGCUGCAGUCAAGUAGCCGGCUGGUGGGCAGAGGCAGCGCGGUGUGCUACAGGACACCGCAGAUAUCUGUUGGGCUACCGCACCCUUCAGCAUUAAAGCUUUCAACGGGUCUGGGACUAUUGUGCCGACUAAGUAUACGAGACGUGUCCACCGAGCCCUUCGGCUUUUGGCGUACAGGGGCCAUUUACGCGAAUGUUUUAGAGGAUUUUUAAUUUUAUUUAAUAUCAUUUAUCUAAUUUAUUUUCGCAUGGGCGAUUUGCUGCGCCAGGUGCCCGGAUUUCCAAACUUAUUGUUAAUGUUCGGCCAAGUGGAAACACCAUGUAACGUUUGUAAUU
rnacentral:lncRNA from 1 species